CAGCCGCCGCGGUAAAACCAGCACCUCAAGUGGUCAGGAUGAUUAUUGGGCCUAAAGCAUCCGUAGCCGGCUCUGUAAGUUUUCGGUUAAAUCUGUACGCUCAACGUACAGGCUGCCGGGAAUACUGCAGAGCUAGGGAGUGGGAGAGGUAGACGGUACUCGGUAGGAAGGGGUAAAAUCCUUUGAUCUAUUGAUGACCACCUGUGGCGAAGGCGGUCUACCAGAACACGUCCGACGGUGAGGGAUGAAAGCUGGGGGAGCAAACCGGAUUAGAUACCCGGGUAGUCCCAGCUGUAAACUAUGCAAACUCAGUGAUGCAUUGGCUUGUGGCCAAUGCAGUGCUGCAGGGAAGCCGUUGAGUUUGCCGCCUGGGAAGUACGUACGCAAGCAUGAAACUUAAAGGAAUUGGCGGGGGAGCAC
rnacentral:rRNA from 2 species